ensembl:lncRNA
UCUCUCUCUCUCUGUCUGGACUAUGGUCUCUCUCCCUCUCCCUCUCUCUCCUCCACCUCCCCCUCUGACUCUCUUAAACCUUGUGGUUCCGCUUUUGCUUGAGGACGCUGCCUGGUGUUCGUUCUGUGGAGGAUGCUCCAGAGUCUCUCCUGCAGCCGGGGAUCGUGUCCUUCCCAGCGGGACUAGGACGCCUCUGGACAGACGCAGUUUCAGGAGGACCGGACGCCUGAACCGUCCCGACAAAGAGCCACCAUGGAUCUGUCCUUCAUGGCAGCGCAGUUUGAAAGAGCAUUAAGGUCCACAUAAGGAGGAAUAAUGGAGGCAUCAGACAGUGACCAAACCUUCACCCAAGAGACUCACAUCCCCUGACGUCUAUUUGAUUUACAAGUGUCGUCUUCCUAUUGUCACUGAAAGUCAGAAGAAGUUGCAGUUGGAGAUAAAGAAACUGGAAAAGGAUGCAAGUGCACAUUUGUAUCACAGCAGAAGGUCAUGGUUUGGACUUUAAGUGUUUUUUCUUUACAGCUUGAACUAAAUGAAUAAAUAACUUCAGCAACUUUGACAAACUUUUUGUU